AUUGAACGCUGGCGGCAUGCCUUACACAUGCAAGUCGAACGGCAGCGCGGGAGCAAUCCUGGCGGCGAGUGGCGAACGGGUGAGUAAUAUAUCGGAACGUGCCCAGUAGUGGGGGAUAGCCCGGCGAAAGCCGGAUUAAUACCGCAUACGACCUGAGGGUGAAAGCGGGGGAUCGCAAGACCUCGCGCUAUUGGAGCGGCCGAUAUCAGAUUAGCUAGUUGGUGGGGUAAAGGCCUACCAAGGCAACGAUCUGUAGUUGGUCUGAGAGGACGACCAGCCACACUGGGACUGAGACACGGCCCAGACUCCUACGGGAGGCAGCAGUGGGGAAUUUUGGACAAUGGGCGCAAGCCUGAUCCAGCAAUGCCGCGUGCAGGAAGAAGGCCU
rnacentral:rRNA from 1 species